rnacentral:rRNA from 1 species
GACGAACGCUGGCGGCGUGCCUAAUACAUGCAAGUUGAGCGCUGAAGGUUGGUACUUGUACCAACUGGAUGAGCAGCGAACGGGUGAGUAACGCGUGGGGAAUCUGCCUUUGAGCGGGGGACAACAUUUGGAAACGAAUGCUAAUACCGCAUAAAAACUUUAAACACAAGUUUUAAGUUUGAAAGAUGCAAUUGCAUCACUCAAAGAUGAUCCCGCGUUGUAUUAGCUAGUUGGUGAGGUAAAGGCUCACCAAGGCGAUGAUACAUAGCCGACCUGAGAGGGUGAUCGGCCACAUUGGGACUGAGACACGGCCCAAACUCCUACGGGAGGCAGCAGUAGGGAAUCUUCGGCAAUAGACGAAAGUCUGACCGAGCAACGCCGCGUGAGUGAAGAAGGUUGUCGGAUCGUAAAACUCUGUUGGUAGAGAAGAACGUUGGUGAGAGUGGAAAGCUCAUCAAGUGACGGUAACUACCCAGAAAGGGACGGCUAACUACGUG